ACCUGAAAUAACAGAUUUACAGUCAGGGUACAGGCC
rnacentral:sRNA from 1 species